UUGAAGAGUUUGAUCAUGGCUCAGAUUGAACGCUGGCGGCAGGCCUAACACAUGCAAGUCGAGCGGUAGCACAGAGAGCUUGCUCUCGGGUGACGAGCGGCGGACGGGUGAGUAAUGUCUGGGAAACUGCCUGAUGGAGGGGGAUAACUACUGGAAACGGUAGCUAAUACCGCAUAAUGUCGCAAGACCAAAGUGGGGGACCUUCGGGCCUCAUGCCAUCAGAUGUGCCCAGAUGGGAUUAGCUAGUAGGUGGGGUAACGGCUCACCUAGGCGACGAUCCCUAGCUGGUCUGAGAGGAUGACCAGCCACACUGGAACUGAGACACGGUCCAGACUCCUACGGGAGGCAGCAGUGGGGAAUAUUGCACAAUGGGCGCAAGCCUGAUGCAGCCAUGCCGCGUGUGUGAAGAAGGCCUUCGGGUUGUAAAGCACUUUCAGCGGGGAGGAAGGCGUUAAGGUUAAUAACCUUGGCGAUUGACGUUACCCGCAGAAGAAGCACCGGCUAACUCCGUGCCAGCAGCCGCGGUAAUACGGAGGGUGCAAGCGUUAAUCGGAAUUACUGGGCGUAAAGCGCACGCAGGCGGUCUGUCAAGUCGGAUGUGAAAUCCCCGGGCUCAACCUGGGAACUGCAUUCGAAACUGGCAGGCUAGAGUCUUGUAGAGGGGGGUAGAAUUCCAGGUGUAGCGGUGAAAUGCGUAGAGAUCUGGAGGAAUACCGGUGGCGAAGGCGGCCCCCUGGACAAAGACUGACGCUCAGGUGCGAAAGCGUGGGGAGCAAACAGGAUUAGAUACCCUGGUAGUCCACGCCGUAAACGAUGUCGAUUUGGAGGUUGUGCCCUUGAGGCGUGGCUUCCGGAGCUAACGCGUUAAAUCGACCGCCUGGGGAGUACGGCCGCAAGGUUAAAACUCAAAUGAAUUGACGGGGGGCCCGCACAAGCGGUGGAGCAUGUGGUUUAAUUCGAUGCAACGCGAAGAACCUUACCUGGUCUUGACAUCCACAGAACUUUCCAGAGAUGGAUUGGUGCCUUCGGGAACUGUGAGACAGGUGCUGCAUGGCUGUCGUCAGCUCGUGUUGUGAAAUGUUGGGUUAAGUCCCGCAACGAGCGCAACCCUUAUCCUUUGUUGCCAGCGGUUAGGCCGGGAACUCAAAGGAGACUGCCAGUGAUAAACUGGAGGAAGGUGGGGAUGACGUCAAGUCAUCAUGGCCCUACGGGGCUACACGUGCUACAAUGGCAUAUACAAAGAGAAGCGACCUCGCGAGAGCAAGCGGACCUCAUAAAGUAUGUCGUAGUCCGGAUUGGAGUCUGCAACUCGACUCCAUGAAGUCGGAAUCGCUAGUAAUCGUAGAUCAGAAUGCUACGGUGAAUACGUUCCCGGGCCUUGUACACACCGCCCGUCACACCAUGGGAGUGGGUUGCAAAAGAAGUAGGUAGCUUAACCUUCGGGAGGGCGCUUACCACUUUGUGAUUCAUGACUGGGGUGAAGUCGUAACAAGGUAACCGUAGGGGAACCUGCGGUUGGAUCACCUCCUU
rnacentral:rRNA from 1 species